GAUUCUUUGUCACUAACAAAGAGGAAGUGUGAGUUUUAGAUGAAAAACAAGAGAAUCUGAUUUGAGUCGCUGCCCAAAAGUAUUGAACCAUGAAGAGGAACCAAAAACAGAAGCAUCUGGAGAACACAUAUUUUCUCAAAGCUGCCAAGAAGUCAAGAGUUGUUAUGCCUUCCAUCUUUCCAUGGCUAAGUUAAAGAGCAAGAGUGUGAAAUAAGAGAAAAAGAGGAGAAAGAAGAAGAAGAAAGUCAAGAAGAUAAUGUUUGGAUGCUUGAAGGAAAAGCAUUUUGGUGUCAAAACUGUCCUUAUUUAAAUAGUUAUCAGCCCCCAACAUAGAAGAAGUGAAGCAGGACAGACUCUUCAGAGGGGAUCUCAUUGUCUCUUAAGCAACCAAACUACCCACAUAAUAUUAAGGCACCUAUCUUCCCCAAAAAGUAAGAACAGAGAAGCCUAUGUGAUGGUUUCUCCUCAAAUGAGAAGCAGGGGAAAGUAGACAGUUUAUGCCGAGCAAAAGAGCAAGAUAUCCUCAUACAGUUGAAGGGGCAGUGAAAACCAGAAUAUCAUUUUUCACCACUGCAAUUAAGAAAACACUGUAAGAGCAGAAUUUGCUGUGGGUGAGGCUGAACAAGAAUUGAGGGCACCUGUCCUCAAUAAUGGGCAUUUGGGUUUCUGAGAAAAAGGUGGGAUCCCCAAAGAGAUUCUGUCUAAGGUGUCCAUUGUAACUGUAACAAAGAAUUUCAUUCUGAAGAAUUGUAUAUAUGAGAUGGUUGACUGCAAAUUAA